AAGACCUUGCGCUUUUGGAGCGGCCGAUGUCUGAUUAGCUAGUUGGUGGGGUAAUGGCCUACCAAAGCUUCGAUCAGUAGCUGGUCUGAGAGGACGACCAGCCACACUGGGACUGAGACACGGCCCAGACUCCUACGGGAGGCAGCAGUGGGGAAUUUUGGACAAUGGGCGCAAGCCUGAUCCAGCCAUGCCGCGUGAGUGAAGAAGGCCUUCGGGUUGUAAAGCUCUUUCAGCCGGGAAGAAAAGGCUACGACGAAUAAUCGUAGCUCAUGACGGUACCGGAAGAAGAAGCACCGGCUAACUACGUGCCAGCAGCCGCGGUGAUACGUAGGGUGCGAGCGUUAAUCGGAAUUACUGGGCGUAAAGGGUGCGCAGGCGGUUUUGUAAGUCAGAUGUGAAAUCCCCGGGCUUAACCUGGGAACU
rnacentral:rRNA from 1 species